rnacentral:rRNA from 1 species
AUUGAACGCUGGCGGCAGGCCUAACACAUGCAAGUCGAACGAGUGGCGGACGGGUGAGUAAUGUAUGGGAAACUGCCCGAUGGAGGGGGAUAACUACUGGAAAAGGUAGCUAAUACCGCAUACCAUCGGAUGUGCCCAGAUGGGAUUAGCUAGUUGGUGGGGUAACGGCUCACCUAGGCGACGAUCUCUAGCUGGUCUGAGAGGAUGACCAGCCACGCUGGACAUGAGACACGGUCCAGACUCCUACGGGAGGCAGCAGUGGGGAAUAUUGCACAAGGGGCGCAAGCCUGAUGCAGCCAUGCCGCGUGUAUGAAGAAGGCCUUCGGGUUGUAAAGUACUUUCAGCGAGGAGGCGUUACUCGCAGAAGAAGCACCGGCUAACUCCGUGCCAGCAGCCGCGGUAAUUC